UAAUUGUUCUUCCGGAUCGACUUUCACCAUUCCUAUGGUCGAAAAUUUAAGUCAUGUUUACGCUGUUUCCAAUCGAAUAAAAUCUCUCAACGCCAGUUUAUUUAGUGAUAAAUUAAUUUUGGUUGACAUUAGAAAAAAUCAAAUCUCACGUUUGGACUUGGAAACACUCGGAGUAAUGUUUUCGAAGGAAGAUCGACAUUUUAGACUAGCUGGGAAUCCAAUAAUCUGUGACUGUACAAAUCACGUGUUACUUAAAACUUUUCGAUUACAUCGCGAUCAGGUGGACGAUUACAAUGAUCUGACUUGUUUUGCAGAUGAAACUUUAUUGAAUAGCGUUAAAGAAGAUCAACUCUGUGGCAGCAAGCAGUCCAUAGCAGGAACAUCUAUUUUCACAAUACCGUUAGCGUGUAUCUGCGUUGUGCUUGUAAUUUUUGCAUUAAUGAAUUUCGUAUACUAUCGCUACAGAUAUCAAAUUAAGAUUUUUCUAUAC